GGACGAACGCUGGCGGCGUGCUUAACACAUGCAAGUCGAACGGAAAGGCCCUGCUUUUGUGGGGUGCUCGAGUGGCGAACGGGGGAGUAACACGUGAGUAACCUGCCCUUGACUUUGGGAUAACUUCAGGAAACUGGGGCUAAUACCGGAUAGGAGCUCCUGCUGCAUGGUGGGGGUUGGAAAGUUUCGGCGGUUGGGGAUGGACUCGCGGCUUAUCAGCUUGUUGGUGGGGUAGUGGCUUACCAAGGCUUUGACGGGUAGCCGGCCUGAGAGGGUGACCGGCCACAUUGGGACUGAGAUACGGCCCAGACUCCUACGGGCGGCAGCAGUGGGGAAUAUUGCACAAUGGGCGGAAGCCUGAUGCAGCAACGCCGCGUGCGGGAUGACGGCCUUCGGGUUGUAAACCGCUUUCGCCUGUGACGAAGCGUGAGUGACGGUAAUGGGUAAAGAAGCACCGGCUAACUACGUG
rnacentral:rRNA from 1 species